UACAGAGACUGCAAGCGUUAUUCGGAUUCACUGGGCGUAAAGGGUGCGCAGGCGGCCGUGUGUGUGAGGCGUGAAAGCCCGGGGCUUAACCCCGGAAUUGCACCUCAAACUACAUGGCUAGAGCAUUGGAGAGGGUAGCAGAAUUCAUGGUGUAGCAGUGAAAUGCGUAGAUAUCAUGAGGAAUACCAGAGGCGAAGUCGGCUACCUGGACAAUUGCUGACGCUCAGGCACGAAAGCGUGGGGAGCAAAAGGG
rnacentral:rRNA from 1 species